rnacentral:rRNA from 1 species
UACGUAGGGGGCAAGCGUUGUCCGGAAUCAUUGGGCGUAAAGCGCGUGUAGGCGGCCCGGUAAGUCCGCUGUGAAAGUCGGGGGCUCAACCCUCGAAUGCCGGUGGAUACUGUCGGGCUAGAGUGCGGGAGAGGCGAGUGGAAUUCCUGGUGUAGCGGUGAAAUGCGUAGAUAUCGAGAGGAACACCUGCGGCGAAGGCGGGUUGCUGGGCCGACACUGACGCUGAAGCGCGAAAGCCAGGGGAGCGAACGGG